rnacentral:rRNA from 1 species
UACGGAGGAUGCGAGCGUUAUCCGGAUUUAUUGGGUUUAAAGGGUGCGUAGGCGGAUUUUUAAGUCAGCGGUAAAACGUCCGGGCUCAACCCGGGCCGGCCGUUGAAACUGGGGAUCUUGAGUGGGCGAGAAGUAUGCGGAAUGCGUGGUGUAGCGGUGAAAUGCAUAGAUAUCACGCAGAACUCCGAUUGCGAAGGCAGCAUACCGGCGCCCUACUGACGCUGAGGCACGAAAGCGUGGGUAUCGAACAGG